UCUGAAUAUGAAAUAGCUUUUUCUUGCCUUUGACCGUUUGCUUAGUAAAAUCUGAUUUCAAAACUUGGAAAAUCUGUUAUACUAUUUACUAUACAAUAGGUCGAUAAAAUGAUUAGAUGAGUAGAUGUCUUUAUAUUAAAAAGUAAAAAUUAUGUUGGUGGAUUAUGAUUCAUCCAGUGACACUUCUAUUUCCUCAGAAGAUGUUAAAAAUGAAAAUCAGGUAUCUAAUAUUACUAAGGUAAUUGGGAAAAUAGAUGAAAAUAAAGAUGGUCUUUAUAUUAGUAUGGACAAUGAAUGCAUGGAAAAUUUGGAUAAAGAAUGUAAAAUGUCUUCUGCUAAUCACUUCAAGAACAAAUUUGAGAUGCUGAAGUUAAGAAGAAUCAAAUCUCAAGAGAGUCAAACUUCCAAUAUUGUUUCAAUUGAGGAGAUUGUGAACGAUAAAAAACGAGAUCCAAUGAGAAAGAAGUAUCGAAAAGGGUUAGUGCUUAUAACUAUGAAAGAAAAAAUGAAGGAAUUGAACAGUUGCAUUCCAUUGACCUUUCAAGUUUGCAAUGAGUAUGACCCCCAUAAUCUAAAGAAGGUUCCUGGUUAAAAGGAUGAAAAUACUUCAGUUUGCCCUCUUCAAGAAUAUCUUUACUUGAAUUGUACAUAACUUGCUGUGAUCUAAUAUAUUCACACAAUGGAAAAAAGUAAAAAAGAGCAAAAUAGAAAAAGAUCUUGAUGCAGCAAUUGCGGCGAAAGACUUUCAAUUAGCUGAAGACAUUAAUAAAGAAAUGAUCAAAAGGUCCUUUGCGACUACUGUAAAAAGUGCAAUCGAAGCGCAUAACCACAUUAAAUUGCAGAAGAAAAAAGAGCAACGGAGACGUUUACAUAAAAAAGAAAAGCUCCAGUGGUCGUUUAAUCAAAAACAAAGAUGGGAAACAAAAGGAAACAUGUAAUAAAAUACAAAUACAUUUUUUUAUUUUCA